rnacentral:misc_RNA from 1 species
UCUCCGUAGGUGAACCUGCGGAGGGAUCAUUACCGAGUGCGCGCCCCCCGGGGCCGACCUCCAACCCAUUGUUAUCCGACCACGUUGCCUCGGGGGCGACCCGGCCGUUUGGCCCCGGGGCCCCCGGUGGCUCACACCUCAACUCUUGCAUCUGUGCGUCUGAGUAACAUAUUGAAUCAAUCAAAACUUUCAACAACGGAUCUCUUGGUUCUGGCAUCGAUGAAGAACGCAGC